rnacentral:misc_RNA from 1 species
UUUACAUUGUUUAACCUUUACAUUGUACGUCUGUUUGUUGUUCUCUGUACAUAGUACUUUGUACACUUUUUAAAUAAUGAUGUUUUGUGUGUUUCUGGAAUCCUGAGUUUAAAGUCCAUGUUUGCUUUCAAGCAUUAUCUCAGGUUUGAACAGUAUAAAAGAAUGAAUAAGUUUAUGAAUUUAUUAGUGCUUUUAAAGUUUAAAACUUUACUGCUAAACUCAGAAAAAAAAUAUAAGGUAUGAUUCUUUCGAUUGUAUCUAUUCUUUUAGCUGGAUAUCUGGCCUCCAGUAGCAGGGGAUCUGUUUCUGCAGAAACAACUGCUGUACUACUAGGAGGUGCAUAUGAUGAAAUCGUUGGUUCUACUAGUCGCCCUGGUUCUUUUCAACUUCAUUUCCUACUCCUCUGCAAUUAAGUUUUUUAUCGACGACGAAACCUUAAAAGUUCCAACUUCAACCUCUUCAACAUAUUUUACGGCAAAUCUCAGCAUACUGUACUUUGAUACCUUCAAACUCGACACCCCAGUCAACAACUUCGGGUAUUCUUAUUCCAGCGUCAUCACAAUUAUUCCGGGAGGAUGCAAAUACAAUUGAUAUAAAUGUUCCCAGCUUGCUGACGACUCCAAAACAGAACCAUUUUCUCUGUUUCUGUUGGUACCAGAGCUGAAACUUUUCAUUGAAAUCUCAGUACUUCCGAUGAAUAAUUAAUCUACGGCUCGAUGAGUGGAGGAUUCAAAUCUACCUGCAAACUAACUGUCGAGUAAAUUACUUCAGACCCAAUGACGUCGGUCAAACAUCACAGAUUCGACCCGACCUAUCCACUAAUAUAUUUAAAUACAAAAGGAUUUAUGUUGGAUUAAUUUGUAAAGUUUUCACCUCGAUAUAAUUACAAACAAAUUAUGAAUAGAAAUGAACGAUUUUUUUUUAAAGAAUUUUAAGUUAUUAUUUUCGUUAAACCAGAAGAACCAUCGCAUUAUUUAAGACGCAAAAAUCUAAAAUAUUUUGGUGCACCUACGAUUUUCUUUAAUUUUUCAUAAUUUUUCAUUUUUUUAUAA